AGACUUGUAAAGUUUUAAUUUUGACUCUGAGUUUUUUCUAUUCCAUAUAAAGAUGCUAACAAUUCCUUGCCAUUCUUGUAAAAAAUAUUUCUGAAAUCAGAAUUGGCAUCGUUUGAAACAGAUAUGGAAACAGAUCUUGGAUAAUACAUUCAUUUUGAUCAUUACAAUUGAUCCUAACCAGGAAGGCUUUAAGGUUUUCCACCUUUCAAGAUCUUUUAAUUUCUUGCCAUAAUUUGACAUAAUUGUUUUGGUAUAUUUCUUGAUUAUUACCUGUCAAACGCAAACAAGAUAUUUCACUGAGUGUGUUAUCUGGCAGCCAGAUUCCUCCUGCUAGAAACCUUCUCCUUGUGUUAAAUGUCUUGUGAUUAUUUUUGUUUUUGCUCAUUGAUUUUAUAUCUGGAUAAUUCUCCGAAGCUAUGGAUUGUUUUCAUCAACUGUCUUAUUGCCUCUUGUGCUUCGGUUAUAGUUAAUACUACAUCAUCUGCAUAACAUACAGUAUUACUCUCUACCGAUUUUGAGACAAGACAUUUGUUUGUCACCUCAAAGCUUCUCUACCAAUAUUUCUAAAGCAAUGAUAAAUAAUAAGAGAGAAAAUGGGCAUCCUUGCCUUGUGCCCUUUUUUAUUUGGAAAUCUGUAGAGAGUGCUCUGUUGGCAGUGAUCUUUGCUGUUUGCCAUUAAUAUAUGCUUUUCAUCCAGUCUUUGAACUCUUCUCCAGGAUUUAUUUUAUUUAGUACUGCCAAUAGAAAUGACCAGUGCAGGUUGUCAGAGGCCUUUUCUGCAUCUAGAAAAAUUAGUGCUGUUUUCUUUCUUUUUUCAUUGAUAUGUUCUACUAUGUUAUGAACCUACUAUUAUCCUUAUUGUUCUUUUUCAGAAUAUAACCUGUUUGGUCAUUGUGUAUUAUAUCUGAGAGACAUUUCUAGUUCAGCUAGUAGUGUUGUAAAAAUUGUGUAGUCUACAUUCAACGAAGGCAUUGGUCAUUAUGACUAUAGUUUCUCUGGAUCAUUCCCUUCUUUGUAAAUCAAAGUUGUCCAUGUGGAUGGUAUCACCUUUGUCUCUUUGAUUUCACUCAUUGUGUUUGUCAGUGGUUCCAACAAUUCCUUCUCAAGUUCUUUAUAUCAAUUUUUUUUAUAUACAUGAUAGUGUGAAAAACUACUUUUGAACUACAAAUCCUGCACAUCACUUCAAGUACAAAAAUAUGAUGAGGAUUGUUGUUAUUAAUGUUCCUCUACUACUUUACAAAACUCUAGGAGAGCUGCUGAAGUGCUUCCGUAUUUCAGGACAAAAUUCUAAUGUGUUGAUGUAUUUUGUUAUCAAUUCAUACAUGGUGCUGUUAGCUUAGUCAGGUAAAGGACCAAGAGAAGACUUCUCAGAUUUGUAGAUGCUCAAAUGCCAGCUUAUGCCAACUGCCUCAAAUGCCAAAUGCCAACUGCCUCAGAAAAAUAGUAUUGCAAAUUAUUCAUGUAUACCACUAAAUAUUUAGUGAAAACUUUGCUUAUCUUUCAUCAGAUCAAAUAUAGUUUUAAAGAAUAUUUUUUGUUUCUAUGAAUAUCAUUAAUUUGUAAAACUGAAUGUUUCUGAAAGGUACAUUCAGUACGCAGUGACCAGUUACACAGCAAGGUUAAUUAAAUAGAUUAUAUCAAAUUAUAUACACAGCUCCACUAUAUUAACAUUUUAUUGCACUGCAAGCAGAUGGAACAGAUUGAUUUCCUGCUCUCCAAAGCUUUAUGUACAAAACAAAUGUAGUUGUGUUACCAUAAUGGUCAUGAGGAAAUGUGUACAACAUUACAUGACCAACGGAAGUACAGUUGCAUGAUUCUCUUCUCCUCCUCCCUGCAGCUCCAUAGGUGAGCUCCAAAUUUCCUCCAGAAGAUCCCCCAAAUUCUCCUGAAUGUGCAAGUUUGAGGUAUGUGAGGAGAAGAUAAAGGAGAAGGAAUUGAUUCUACUGGCUGAAACCAUCCGAACCUUUGGAUGGAUACCUUUGGAUAUAACCCACUGUUGUGCCUCCUCAUUUGGUAAUCUGUUCCAGUUGGACACCCUAUCUUUGAAAGAUACAGUACCAGCAUAGUUCUAUGGGUGUACCCCCCAUGUUGAAGGAGCAUAUUCUUCAGGAAUUAGCACAUUCUAAUUACAUGCACUAAGGCAUUAAUAUUAUAUCUUAAAUAUUUGACUAGUGAGAUUGAAUGGGGAUCUAAGAAUGGGAUCUAAGCAACAUUGAUACAUGGACAUUGCCCAGCCAUCCACCAGCUCAGGGGAGAGAAAGGCUUCACUGAAUGUGUAACAAAUGGAGGAUCUCUGUGAUAACGAAGUAAAGAUUUUAUGGCACAAAGGAUGGUGUAUAUUACCUCUUCCUGCAGUCCUUCCCAAAUACAUAAGCUACUUUAAACCAUGAGUUACAAUAUCAGUGCACAUCAGCUUUGCUUAUCUGAGUAAUAAUUUUAGCCAAAGGAAACUACUCUGAAUUUACUUUUAUAAUUGCUAUUAUGACUUGGACCUACUAAUAUCAAAAGAAUAAGAUGUAAAUAUUUCCGACCUUUACAUCCUUAUAUGCAGUAUCUGCAAAUCUCAUCCAAAAUGGGGAAAUAUGGAUGCCAUAGAGAGGAUUUUGCCUAUCAUUGUAACAAUUUUAAAAUGCUGAUCUGGUAAACACUUCAGAUAAUCUUAAGAAUUUGAAAGCAUCAACACUUAAGCAUAAAGACUUUCUGUAAAUCCAGAAAAACUCUUCAGUCAUGAACAGAUUAACAGGAUGUGGGCCUCAAUCAUGCUUGAGAAAGCAACAGGAGAAAAUAGCCUAUUUCACAGAAUACAAUUGGACAGAUAAUGCACAGUGGGUGCAUCUGAUUAAAUGGCUUUUGACCCAUGAAAACUUUUACUGCUAUUAUAGUAAUUAGUCUUUAAGAUGCUACAAGUUUCUUCGUGGUGUUUGUACAGAUGUCUGACUUCAUACACUACAAAUGCAUAUACUGGCCUUUCCCAGCCUUGUGGCCUCCCAAUUGGCCAUGCUGGCUGAGGCUGUGAAGAUGUCCACCUUAACUGGAUGUUCAUAUAUAAGUAAUGAACAUCUUUCUGCCUCAUCUAUAUGCACAAAUCUGAAAAUACAUAAAGAGGGUCUUUAUAAAUAGUUUUACAAAAAUAACUAGUACUACAGAUAUGUAAAUAGUUCUAUAGAAAUGUGGGUGCUGCAUGGAAACAGAUGUAGAUUUUACUGUAUAUGAGUGUCAGAUGAAUUUCGUUUUAAGAGCAGAAGGAUAAAGGCCAAAACAACUGAGACAGUUGCAGAUGGUUUCUGUUUUUACUGUAAUGUUGCUGCAAGGGGCUCAACAAUGUGAUGACAUUUCUAUGGGGAAAGAGUAAAUUCUUCCCUUGUGAGCCAUUUUUUCCAGCCAAAAAUAAUCUUCCAAUGUUCUUUUCUCCCUGACAAAGAAAAAAAAGGCGAGCACAAAUCCUGUUCUUUGCACUACUGAUGCGCCAGACUUGGACACAUACCCAGUGACUACAUUAAAAACAAUAUGAAAACCAUCAGGAGGUGCUCCUUGUUUUGCACACUGCAUCUACAGUAGUUUGGCCAUAAUAAUAAUAAUAAUAAUAAUAAUAAUAAUAAUAACUAUAAAUGUGCUUUGAUCUUCGUAGAACAUCCUUGAAAAUGUAUAAAUGCAUGACUUCCUUCUUUUUCAAAAUAUUACAUUGUUAUAAUCCUAAACACAUCAUUACUAUGUCACAGCUCUAAUUAUGCCACACUGUGAUUUAAUAUAUUUUUUAGUCUUUGCAUGGCACUUUUGUUCAGAAAGUUGGAGAAAACAAAAUGCAAAAUGAGCAGGCAGUAUAAGCAAAACUUUGCAUUGGAAUAUUCUAUGAGAUUUGAUUCUGGGAAUGACAGCCAGUUCUUUAGCAGUCAGGUAUUUUGAAUAAACAUUUCAGAUUUUAUUCCACUUGGAGAGCAAUUAUAUAGAAGCACUGUUAAGGAGUUUACUCUGAGUAAAGAUUUUUAAAAUGUAAAAUGGUAGUUGAAGUAAUUUUUCUAAAAUUUCCCCUACCUCUAUUUUCAUGUGUUCCUUUCCUUCUGUUUAAAAUAUCUAUUACGUUUGAAGAGUUAUAAAGUAGAAAUGUGGUUGUUUAGGACAUUCAGUACUUGUUAAUUGAAUUGCUUGCCUGCUUGCUUGCUUGCAUUUCCAUCCUCUACUAGCACUAGAACCACACCACAAAAGAAAACAGGGUUGACUCAAAUAGAGCAAUCAGCUCUUCAUAGACAGAACAGAUUGGAAAGCACAGCUUGACAAGGCACUUCCUGAAGGGCAAGCACAGAGCUGAAUCCUUAGAAAUGGUUCAUAGAUGGGACAAACUUUGUUCUGUUUGGAAAUCCUCUCAGUGAAGGAGAAAUCAAUGGCAGGCCACCAGUGCUUGAAGGGUUAAUCAAUCUUGGCAAUCCAGUUUUUCAAAAAAGGUAAUUCCAAACAUUUUGGUCUAGGGGUGGAGAUGCAGAAUAUAGAAUGACUGGAGUUUUUUUAAAGCAGUUUUUCAUACCCGUGCAUUUUGUGUCAAACCCAUUUCUUCCCUAACUGUAAUUCUCGAAGCUUCUACAUAAUCCCAGGUUUGAGGGUGUGCAUUGCUGAAGAUCAGGAGGAGUUGCUUUCUCCUCUUAAUUGUUCCAAAUCUCCAGUUCUUGUCUUCUCUCUCUAGAGAUUAUUUUACUUCUCUAUGGAAAUACAUGGAUCUUUUGUGAAUAAGAUUAUUGCUGGUUUUCUAGGCAAAGAAUGAAUGAGGGGCAAUUUUCAUAACCUUAUUUUUUAAAAAUCCUAUGUUAUAAGAGACACAGGAUAAGAAAUCUAGAAUGAAUGAACUCAUUUAUGAAAUCACGUUUUCAAUUUCUUGCUGAGGCUUUCUCUUUUCUUUGUAUGUAUAAGGAAUGUGAAGGCACUUUCUUGGCCAUAGCAGUCUCCAUUGCUUCUGUGGAAAAUACCACAUUCCAGAUUCACAAUUUUGAAAGCUGUUUGGUUAUAGCUUCUGUUGAAAUGACUAUGUAGUGUGGUGACCUACUUGCAUGUUUUUUUUUAAUAAAACAUUGUCCAAAACUCUAUGAUGGUAAUUUAGACAUAUUAGUAGAUCAAAUAUUGUUUGAUCCUAUUUUCCCAAUCCAUUUACAUUUCAUUUUUUAAAAUUAUCAGUUAUAAUUUUAAACUUCUUAUUAGCAUAGGAGAAAGGGAGCAAAUAAAUUUAAGCAAAUCCCUAGCCAAUAACUGACACUUUGGUUCUGUAAAUAAUGUAUAAAUGAUGAUACAAUGUGUGCAAAUUUUUAAAAAGAGUUUGUUAGUUUUUUAUUACCUCAUUCAGCAAAUUUAUUUUACAAUGACUCCAUAAAAUCUUAUUUAUGUUGUUUGUACUGUAACUAAAAAUAUUGAUAACAUUUUCUUUUGCUUGUUUCAUAUGAUCUUGUUUGAUUAAAUAUGUUUGUUUGUA